AUGGCCGCCAUGUCACUGAGAUAUUUUCAGAAAGAGGGAAGAAUAAAAGAAAUUAACUCAAAUCAAACCAUAAAAUAUUUCAACAUGCAAAACAGAUCUGAUCUAUACAAAUUUGGUCUUGGACAUCGUAGCUUUACAAUUAUUAUUAACCAGAAAACUGAAAAGAGAAACGAACAAAGGAGGUACAGACUUCAGGUGUGCAGAGAUCAACCCUUAUAGGGUCUCUGAGGUCUUUUUAGACCCCAAACGAUGCUUGCUAAAAUUUAAAAUUAAAAAAAAAAAAAAAAAAAAAAAAAGUUCUCUUUGUCCAAAUUACAUGAAACUUUGUACAGUUGUUAACACUUUCUAGAUCUAGAAAUAAAAAGAAAUAAUAAUAAAUAAAAAAAAUUGGAGUGAUGUCUUGUUUUUAUGUUAGUGUAGAAAAAAGUAGUCACACUCAAAUGUAAUUUUGUAACAAAAUAAUUGUUUUUUAAAAAUACAAAUAUAAUUUUACUCGAUUUAUUAAUGUUUUUACUUCAUAUUUGUGCAGUUUUUGGAGGAUUUAUCAUAUCUUUUAAAUUUAUAUUAACAAAUAUUGAGUAGGUUUUUAUACAAAAACAGCUUUUUGUGUAAAAUUCACUUUAUAAAAGACCCACAUUUCUAACUUUCACUCAUGGGGAUAACAUGAAUAAUUUGACAUGGUUUAGUGUAAGAUUUUUGCCCAUCUUUUGGAAAAUGCAGUUUUAAAAGUAAAAAAUGAUCACUUUUACCAGUAGAUGCUGCAGAGCUCCACUAUGUGCUAUCUGACUGACUGAAAGACUUCUUUUCACAAGUAUUUUUCAGUUGGAUUCAUAUCUGAAUAUUAUGAAAUCACAAUUAUAACAAUAAAGCUACUUUUUGUCAAAGUUUAGUAUUUUUUUUUGUAAUGAAAAAAAUAAGUUUGUGACACUGUCACAUAAAAUAUGUGUUUUACCGCUCUAUUUAUUACAAUUAUUUUAUGUAUAAUAGAGUUUUAAUUGGUUUACAUGUUUUUAGUCCAUUUUAUUCCUCUUACUUAUUUUAAUGUAUGUCUUUAAAUGAGUCUGGGUCUGCCUGUCAUGUGACUGAUCACAUGACAGGAACCAGGAAGUAAGCCAGCAUAAAGGAGGCAGCAUGGCAAACAAUCAAUCCCUCAUUACAAACGUGAUCACCUGCUAUAGCUGGACUGUGGAGUUUAAUUUUAUGGACUUACCUUUCCAGCAAACCACUUUUCAUUGGAUUAACACUUCCGUGGACACUUUCACAUUGGGACUUACAUCACGCUAGGACUCUUAUGGACUGUUUUAGGGUAUGGUGCGAAUGGACUCCACACUUUUAAACAGCCUAUUAUUAGUUUUAUCGUGUUUUAAGUUCCUUGUGAAUAUUGUAAAUACACCUUAUUUAUUUCUGUUGUCUGUCUCAUCUUUUUAAACACUCAUAACAUCUCACACAGUAUAAUCUGACCACAAUCUUAAUCCAUGUAAAAUCGACCGAUAGGGCUGAUCGUUACAAGUUUUUCAAAAAUGUUGAUUUGAGGAUGAAUUUUGUCCAUUUUCUAAGUGGGGUCUCAUCAUAAUGUAACCAUUGAAAAACUGAUAUUUUUCCAUUACAAAAACAAAAAACACUAAAGUUAAAUAAUCAGACUUGGUCCGACUACGCCACCGGGGCUUUGAUACCCACGAACAUAAAACAGCAACACAAGUGAAUAAAUAACAGACGUGACCUUCAAGUACAACACUUUUAUUAACAAUCAGUACUGAAAUCUCUGAAUAAGCAGCACGUUUAUAACCAUCUAAAAAGGGAGGAUCACAAUUUUAAGAUGUCUAGACUUUAAGUAAAAUAUUAAAGUCAGAACCCCCAAUUCUUGAAUGUGAGGUCAACCAAGACCUGCGUGAAGUUGGCCCCCACCCAACGCAAAACGUCGGCAAAAUAGUCUCAAUCGUUUGUGUCGUAAAAAUGUUCGUUUGUGCUGCUUUGGUUUUUAAAAUAAGACAUUGAAUUAUAGGCAAUGACCUCACCAGCCUGAACGAAGAAUCAGAAAUAGCCUAUAGGCCAUUUUAAGUCUUCAAGUAAAAGGUUAAAGAAAUGUUUACUUUUAGCCUACUAACUUUACAUUUGUUUGUAAAAUAUUUAGCCAAAAACAAAAAAAGACUGAAUAAAAAACAUCGGACUCUUUUCUCUCAUAAUAUGUAAACACACACACACACAAAAAAAAAAAAAAAAAAAUUAUGAAUAAGUUUCAUAUUUGAAAGAAAUACGGAAUCAUCAUAGAAAACGGGCCUAUAGCUACUCCCGGUACUGUUGAAAGGUUUAUAUAAUAUUGUGUGUUUCCUGAAGGAUAACUGAUCAUGAUUACAUAAUUGAUGAUAAUUCUAUAUUUGUUUUUUCGUUUUGGUUUUGUAAAGAAAAUGAAAUAACAAUAUUGGAUGUUUAAUUGGGGUCCGUGUACCUGGUAGGCUGAUUUGAUUUUUUACCUAAAAAGAAAUAAAGAGUUUGUUUUUUCGUUGUGUAAGAAACGGAAAAUUAAAAAUCAAGCUAUAUUUUUCGUAAUUACAUUAAUGGGUAAAGAAAUGAUUAUUCUUAAAUAUAUGUUUCGCAUGAGUGGCGCCCUGAAACGCCGUUCAACUCAUGUCUUGCAUGUCCCAUCAUGCAGUUCAUCUGAUGUAGGCUACUGCUCUGCAUAUUAGUUACAUUUUUUUUUUUUUAAUUGGUCGUUUCAUAUAUUUCUUGCCACUGUAGCUACUUCUCUUGUCCGCGGAGGCGCCGGCGCGAUCCCUUCCACUGUUUCCUGAUAUUUUGGGUUUUUCCCAAUGAAACACAAAUUAUGUUAUUAUUUAUAAAAAUAAAUUAAAAAAAAUCUUCUUGUAAUAACGAGUGAAACAUGUUGGAUUACUAGGUUUUUCUUAGGCCUUUUAAGAAUAAAACACAAAUAAAUUCUCAAUGUUGUUUUAGACCACAUAAAUCUAAAAUGAGUAUUUUAGGAGACGCCCACACAUUCAAAACAUUUUAAAGCAUAAACUAAUUUAAGUUUUACCCAUAUAUAAGAAAAAAUAAAUAAACAGACAAAUAAUUUUAAGUAAAAUCAAAUUAAACGAAUGCCUUUGUUUUUUCGAUUUGGUUUAGUUAGACACUGAAAUAAGUCGUUUUUUUCUCGACAUUGGCUAAUUAAUGAAGGAAUUACACGGACUGACACUGAAAAUGAGGAAAGCAAACAGACUCAAUUUGAAAUCAUAUUGCUCCUACUAUUUCUGUUAAAUGUAUAGCUUUGGUAUAGCCUACUAUAAUAUGCUCGUAUGCGAUUUGCAUUUGCAGCCGUUCAGUGUCAUUCAGUUCACUGCAAUCAGUGUCUAAUAUUUAUAAACCGAGGCAGCACAAAUGAAACUUUUAUCGGCACAAACGAUUGCGACUGUUUGUGGUGAAUUUGGAGCAUGUGGGGGGCUGAGAGAGAUCAGAAUGAAUAGCCAAUUCUUUUAAUAUUUUAAAAACCGAAGCAGCACAAACAAUUUUACCGGCACAAACAAACGAGACUAUUUAGGGUAAAUUUGGAGCUGAGGGGAGCUGAGUGACGUCAUCGCCUAUAAUUCAAAGUCUAAUAUUUUAAAAUCGAAAGCAGCACAAACAAAACUUUUACCAGCACAAAUGAUUGAGACCGUUUUGCCGACGUUUUGCGUUGGGGCCAACUUCACACAGGUUCAACCAAGCCUGCGGGAAGAAGAGAGAAGAAGAAGUCACUAGGCCAAAGACCCACAGCCUCAAGAGCACACACCACACGUGCACAGAUGUACACAAACCAACACAUUUAAUAAAGGGUGUAGUGAAUACUGCAAAUAACUCUACACUCUCAAUACCCAUGCAGUGCUGGAACCUCACGCCACAUGGAGGAAAGACCCAGAUGACCCCAGAAGAAAGCAGGCUGGCUCCUAGAAGAUAGAAAGAUGGAUUAAACACUCCCAUUUUAUGCACACAUAUAGACCCUUAGCGGUUGGUACAAACAGGGCUCACUUAAAAUCAGUAAUUCAAAAGAAAAUAAUUUCAAAAACAAUCAAUAUAUAACAAUCAGCUUAAAACUUAUGUGAAACAAAUAAAUAAAUCUUAAGCAAAACAGCAGGGCCUAGACAAAGGUCCAUAUGCAUAGAACUCCACAAAGAAAGAUCUGUCAAACAGAAAAACAAAAAUAAAAGCACUUUUAUCAAUCUUUAACAAACUAAAUAAACAAUAUAAAAUCAACACAAAUAAAACACCUGUCACGGCGCAAAUCUGACAGUGUCGUGACCACUCAAAACACAAUCCUCUAAAUCACUCAAUAAUUACACAAAUAUUAUAACUAUAACACACCUAACCAUCUAAUGCAAACAUACCUCUGCCGUAAUCCAAGAGUGGACUAGAACCACUGCGUGAUACAGCUGGUUGCGAACACAGCGUCUAUCACCACCCAUGCGCUCAGUCUGACAUCAGGAGGGGUUCUCUCUACAAUAUAAAAUACACCAUAUUAAAAAAAAGCAAAACAUCCUUAUACAAGCUCUUACAACACCUAAAAUACCACGCUCAUACCUCGCUAUGGCGCUUCAGGGUCACAACACCGGAAGAAGACGGAAAAGAAUCAAACGUCAGGAAGUUACGCCGCCUGCCGACCUUUGCGCCAUUUAUAGGGCAAAAUAAACACAUAUGCCCCACCCCGUACACCAUCCUAAUUAUCCACUCGGUUACAUAUAUCAAUUGAUAUUAAAUGUGAAAUAGAAACACUGUAUCCGCAGACCCGUUAUUUGGCAGCCACUAAAUAAAUGGGAAGUGGGAUGAAAUUCUCGUUCCAAUUUCCCAUCCCUUUGACCUGAAGUUGGACCCAAAAGGCUAUAAAUGACCCCUGCUCCAACAAUCUUUGUCAUUCAUUUACAUCUUUCUGUACCUGUGUUCAUCUGCACCCACACAUCACCUCACACCCUCACCCAUUCAUUUGCACCACGGUUCUUGACACGUUCCGCACUUUUGUUUUGCUCUCUUUUGUCCGAUUUUGUGAUUUCUGCGAAAAUGGGAUUAGCUGAUUGCCCGCUUUGCCUCCGUGAAUACAGUCAAUCCUCCGAAAGCAGGUCGAUACGCUGAGCGAGGCGCUGGCACAGGUGACUCGCCGCUGUCUCCUGAUGAAGAGGAGGUCGCAGGGUGCCCCCUCCAGCCACAAGCGACCAGCCAGGCCGACCUCUGCCAGCACGUCGUCGCACCCCGCCACCCCUACGAAGACGGAAGAGGAGCCAGGGGCGAGGGACCGCUUCGGAGGGACUUAGACCAGCGAAGCAGCGGCGGAGGAUCUGCACAAGAAGCGGUUCCCUUGGUCCAGCUGCCCCCACUAAAGUCGCUAAAGCUGCCGAACCCGGCCAGGAACGGCAACGGAAGCAGACCAAGUUCUUUUAAAUUUGUGUCCCACCCUGUUCCAUUCUGGUGUUCUGUUGUUCUUUGUUCAAUGUGUUAAUAAAUGUUUGAAAAGUUCCUACUGUCAUGUCUUUUUUGGCUGUAAUACAAAUUGCAUAAAUACAGUGUCCGCAGACCCAUUAUUUGGCGGCCACUAAAUUAAAUGAUAUCUGGGAUGUCUUUGUGUUUUCGGCUCCCGUUCGUACCAGACUUGAAAGUUAUUGGAAUGCAUCCGACUGAGUGCGCCAAGUACAGUACAGAUGGUUUAAUCUAUAAAAAUUGACGGCUUUUCCCUGGUCUUCCUCUUUCAAUAUCAGAAAGCACGGCUCUUCCACUAAACGCUUGAAGACUUUUGGUUGUUGUGCAGCACAGAGGUCUUCUGUGAUCCGUGGCUCCUUCAUGAGAGAAGGGUACAAACUAAUGGGAUGAAAUGUUGGAAGUGUAUUUAAAUACUUUGUGUUGUAGUCAGGAUGCAGCACAGCAUGUAUAAUAAAGUUUUGACAUUCUGUUUUUCUCAUGUUUAUAUAAAUCAUACCCUAUCACUAAUGAAAUUAAUCAAUUAUGUUCAGUUUUAAUUUAAAAAAAAAAAAAAAAAAAAAAAAGGCAAGCAAUUCACAUGGCUUUUCAUGCUGCACUUAACCCCACACUCUAAACCCGGAUUUUGUGUUAAUGAAACAAAGUGGUCAUUACUUAUUCUUUGUUGUUUUUGAAAAAGCAUUGUCAUUAAUAAAUCAAAUUAGUUGUUUGCACUAAUCAGAUUGGAAGCACUGAUCAUGUUAGCUGUGAUAACUCGGAAUGUCACGCUUUUGUGAGGGAGGGAGGGGCCUGUUGAAGCAGGUGACUGACGGUGAGCAGAGCGCGCUGUUUGAGGAGUCUGCUCGCUAAACAUGGAUUUAUGAAAGAAACUUUAUACAGUCCAUAAGCCUGUCCUGCUCUUUUUACAGAAGAUCAGGUGUUUAUGAAGUUCAACAGGAUUGUGGGAACCUCAAGCAGGAAUUCUAUGAAAGCAUUGAUCGACAGUCUUCAUCUGAUUGAUAUCUUUCGAUCUAAGAGAGGGAAUGUUGGACAGCUGUUGACACCGCUUUCACAACAAACCAGGAUUAGUCCGACUCCAUUAUACACUUGCAUUGUUGCAUUGUUCUUUUUUUAUUUUUUUUUUUACAGUAAUGAAAACAUGUCACAAUAAGUGAUGCUAUAUUGGUUGUCCAAUACAAUCAAAAUUGUGCUUCUUUGGUUCAGCUUUCUUGUAGAUCAUUUCUUGUUAUUCUAGCUAUGUAACUUUUUUAUUUUACUACCCAAUAGACUCGAGAGCCAACUGAUAUUACGUCACUGGUGCUCAGAGGGCUCCCGAUUGUCCUUGGUGACAACCCCACGAACUUCUUCAAAGCAUGCUUUGUAAGUAACUCAUUUUCUCAAAGGACAUUGACAACAUAAUCCUUUUAUUAACUGAUAGUCCUUGUGUUUGAUAGUCCUUGUGUCCGUGAACUA